CCUACGGGAGGCAGCAGUGGGGAAUUUUGGACAAUGGGCGCAAGCCUGAUCCAGCAAUGCCGCGUGAGUGAAGAAGGCCUUCGGGUUGUAAAGCUCUUUUGUCAGGGAAGAAACGGUGUGGGCUAAUAUCCCGCACUAAUGACGGUACCUGAAGAAUAAGCACCGGCUAACUACGUGCCAGCAGCCGCGGUAAUACGUAGGGUGCAAGCGUUAAUCGGAAUUACUGGGCGUAAAGCGUGCGCAGGCGGUUUUGUAAGUUUGUCGUGAAAUCCCCGGGCUCAACCUGGGAAUGGCGAUGAAGACUGCAAGGCUAGAAUCUGGCAGAGGGGGGUAGAAUUCCACGUGUAGCAGUGAAAUGCGUAGAGAUGUGGAGGAACACCGAUGGCGAAGGCAGCCCCCUGGGUCAAGAUUGACGCUCAUGCACGAAAGCGUGGGGAGCAAACAGGAUUAGAUACCCUGGUAGUCCACGCCCUAAACGAUGUCUACUAGUUGUUCGGGUUUUAAUUAACUUGGUAACGCAGCUAACGCGUGAAGUACGACCGCGUGGGGAGUACGGUCGCAAGAUUAAAACGUAAGAGUAGUACGACGNGAGAGAGCGACGACGACGACGACGGAGGAGGAG
rnacentral:rRNA from 1 species